rnacentral:rRNA from 1 species
GAUGAACGCUAGCGGGAGGCCUAACACAUGCAAGCCGAGCGGGAUUUGUUGGUUAGUUUGCUAACUAACAAUGAGAGCGGCGUACGGGUGCGUAGCACGUGUGCAACCUGCCUUUAUCUGGGGGAUAGCCUUUCGAAAGGAAGAUUAAUACCCCAUAACAUAUUGAUUGGCAUCAGUUAAUAUUGAAAGCUCCGGCGGAUAGAGAUGGGCACGCGUAAGAUUAGCUAGUUGGUGAGGUAACGGCUCACCAAGGCCGCGAUCUUUAGGGGGCCUGAGAGGGUGAUCCCCCACACUGGUACUGAGACACGGACCAGACUCCUACGGGAGGCAGCAGUGAGGAAUAUUGGACAAUGGGUGAGAGCCUGAUCCAGCCAUCCCGCGUGAAGGACUAAGGACCUAUGGUUUGUAAACUUCUUUUAUACAGGGAUAAACCUACUCUCGUGAGGGUAGCUGAAGGUACUGUAUGAAUAAGCACCGGCUAACUCCGUG